rnacentral:rRNA from 1 species
CACCACAUCCAAGGAAGGCAGCAGGCGCGCAAAUUACCCACUCUCGGCACGAGGAGGUAGUGACGAAAAAUAACGAGACGGAUCUCUUUGAGGCCCGUUAUCGGAAUGAGAACAAUUCAAAUCCUUUAACGAGGAUCUAGCGGAGGGCAAGUCUGGUGCCAGCAGCCGCGGUAAUUCCAGCUCCGCAGGUGUAUAUCUAUGCUGCUGCGUUUAAAAAGCUCGUAGUUGGAUCUGCGUGCUCGGAACUGGUUGGCUCACUGAGUUCAAACUGGUCUCCGGCGCUUUAUUGGCUGGUUUUCCCUUGAUGCUCUUAACCGGGUGUCUUGGGUGGCUAGCACGUUUACUUUGAAAAAAAUUAGAGUGCUCAAUACAGGCGUAAAGCCUUGAAUAGUGGUGCAUGGAAUAAUAGAAUAGGACCUCGGCUCUAUUUUGUUGGUUUUCGGAACGCGAGGUAAUGAUUAAGAGGGACAGACGGGGGCAUUCGUAUUGCGACGUUAGAGGUGAAAUUCUUGGAUCGUCGCAAGACGGACGACUGCGAAAGCAUUUGCCAAGAAUGUUUUCAUUAAUCAAGAACGAAAGUUAGAGGUUCGAAGGCGAUCAGAUACCGCCCUAGUUCUAACCGUAAACGAUGCCAACUAGCGAUUCGCAGGCGUUAAACAACGACCUUGCGGGCAGCUUCCCGGAAACGAAAGUGUUCGGGUUCCGGGGGAAGUAUGGUUGCAAAGCUGAAACUUAAAGGAAUUGACGGAAGGGCACCACCAGGAGUGGAGCCUGCGGCUUAAUUUGACACAACACGGGAAAACUCACCCGGCCCGGACACCGUAAGGAUUGACAGAUUGAGAGCUCUUUCUUGAUUCGGUGGGUGGUGGUGCAUGGCCGUUCUUAGUUGGUGGAGCGAUUUGUCUGGUUUAUUCCGAUAACGAACGAGACUCUGGCCUACUAAAUAGUGGGCGGAUUCUUUCUGUCCGCAACACUUCUUAGAGGGACAAGCGGUGUUCAGCCGCACGAGAUUGAGCAAUAACAGGUCUGUGAUGCCCUUAGAUGUCCGGGGCUGCACGCGCGCUACACUGAAGGAAUCAGCGUGCUUCCUGACCUUGCCCGAAAGGGCUGGGUAACCCGAUGAAAAUCCUUCGUGAUUGGGAUAGGGACUUGCAAUUAUUUCCCUUGAACGAGGAAUUCCCAGUAAGUGUGGGUCAUAAGCUCGCGUUGAUUACGUCCCUGCCCUUUGUACACACCGCCCGUCGCUGCCCGGAACUGAGCCGUUUCGAGAAGAACAGGGACCGUCGUUGAAGGGCCUUAACGGGCUUUUCUCUGAUAGAAACUGUUUUAAUCGCAGUGGCUUGAACCGGGCAAAAGUCGUAACAAGGUU